CUGUCCCUGUCCCUGUCCCUGUCCCGUCCUGUCCCUGUCCCGUCCUGUCCCUGUCCCUGUCCCGUCCUGUCCCCGUCCCGUCCCGCCCCCGCACAGCGCCUAGCCGGGAGUCCCCGCCGAAAGAGCUCCGUCCGCGGCCCCUCAGCUGGAGCUCGUCCCGCUCCUGCUCGGUGCGGGCUCAGGGUUACGGUCACCAGCGUCAUUAAAACUCAACAGUGCGGCCACAGACCCGACUGUAACCACAGAGCGUCGUUUUAACACAAGCUGAAGCAAAGAGCUCGCUACUUUCUUUUAAUUCGCCUUUCAAAUACAGCCUCCCUCAACGAAAGCCUGCUUUACAAUUACAGUGUGAUUGACGAACUACUGUUUGAAUAUAACUCAUCACACAUUCCAUAUUUUGUACUUAAUAUGUAUUACAUGUAAGUUGUUUAAAGACACAUGAACAUCAGUGAACUGUCCCUGGCAUCUGAAGCUAAGCACAGACCUGCGAUAAAAUUAAGCACUGAGAGUUUAGACCAGGUUUGUAGCUUUUCUGCAUAAUGUCAGCUCAUUGUACAAUUCUUCAUAGUGUGUGUGGGGAAAAAAAUGAAUACAAAUAAAAAGUUGGUUUUGGAAGAAGCAGCAGGAGAGUGUAGUCAGAAGCCUGCCUUCUUACAGUGAACCAGUGCCAGAAACUUCUACUGGCACAAUGGAUGGGGUCGAUCAAGGACAGGCAAAGUGUCUGGAUACUUCUUCAGCAGCAGUGCCAGCCAGUGGCAGCUUAAGCUGCCAAUGAAGUUGGACUUGAAUCUUAUGUAAAGUGGGACCUCACAGGUCUGUAAUUUAGGUAUGAUUCCAGAUCUGCAAAGCUUAUGGGCUCUGAAAUCCAAUCUGUUUCAAAUCUAUGCAGGAACCUCCAUGAAGUGUGUGUACAUGUGUGUAUGUGGGGGAGAGGGAUGGGAACCUGGGCUGGAGAAGUAGGACUGGGAAACCACUAAGCAACAGCUCUGUCAGUAUCCUGUGGAAACUGUGAUGGAGUUGUUGUUCAGGAGGCAAAAGUCCAUAUUCAGGGCUCUGACAGGCAGACACAAAGAACCUGGGGCAACAUACAGAAUUUGCCAGGAAAGCAGGGAAGAGACACAAGCAGAAAGCAGUUUUCUCAUUGUUUCAUCACAGCACAAUUCCUGUUUGUUCUUUGUUUCCCUUUUAUGGCACAUUCCAAAAUGACUACUUUAAAGUGUUCCUUGGGAUCUCAUCCCUGAGCUGAGUUCUGUUUAAUGACAGAGGUAAUGUAAUAUUGCAACUGUUCUACUUAACAUAAGUUGGAAGUCAGGCCAAAGAAACAAGAGAAAGUUACUGCAAAUUGAUCUUCAUAGUGAAUCUGAGCAUGUGACGUUUCCUUAAAAUAGUUACAUGCAUUAAAUUCUUGCAGUAGGGAGUUAGUGUCUGCCUCAACCUCACUCCCAUAUGUCCCUGGCCAGCUCAGGAAAUAUCUCCUGUAGCCUGUGAGUAUGUGCAAGUGCUUCCUUCCAGAAAUGCAGAAUGUGAGUUUAGUAACUCUAAAGACCCAGAAGACCCUCUGCACCUUCAAAUGACAGUUGCUCUUAGGAACAUUUGAGUACACAUAGUUCUCUAACAUAUUACAAGCAGAACUGUUCAACAAACUUCUGCAAACAAAUCAAUACAAAGCAGACAGAUCUAUAGAUCAAUUGGCUGAUCAAAUGGACAUGUUAACACAAACACAUGACCUUGGCAUUAUUUGCCUUAUGACAACCCUCAAAAAGCCAAAAUGUGACUUACCAGCUUUCACAAGGGGAGUGAUUGGUGAGGAGUCAAUGAGUUUUGCCAUCAUGCAUUUAUCACCCAUUUUUGCAAAUACUUUGUACAUUUUACCUUACCAGAAGUUUUCAAAUUGACUCAACUUUGCUUGUUGCAGCGGCUUCCGAGAUGAGGAACUUAGCAGUUGUACAAAAGAACUGCAUGAUAGUAAAUAAACUCUAAGUUGACAUAUGUCACUGUGUUAUGAAAUGUCACUGAUGUGUUGUAUGAGUGAGCAAUCAUGGACUUUGUCCUCAGGCUGCGCCUUGGUGUUUUACUGAGGUUGAUACUCACUCGUACUAAAGUUCAGAGAAUAACAAAUGAGCUCAUUCACAACAUUUGACUGUGAGGGGGAGUUCCAAGGGCUUUGCAGGAGGACAGAAUCAAUCCCAUUCAGUUAUGAGGUACAUGGUAGACAGUGAUGCUGAAACAUGUGUACAUCACAUCCACAGAGCUGGGAAAAAGUUGGUAGUACCCAAAUGAAAUGCGGAAGUGGUGUAAGGUCAGUUACUACAGGGCAGUCAAACCAUUUGUUUACAUUCCCACCUGGGUCAUGUGUCAUAAACCUCUGAUUGUCUGUCCUCCUCUCUUCCAGACUCUGUUGAGUUUGUCCAUGAACUUAUUGAACUGUAGAGUCUUAAAAUGAACUCCAUCAAUGGCUUUGCCUGUGCCAAGUAAAAGGAAAUGACUACUUUCCAGGAUUUUUGUGCAAUGCCACUUUUAAUGGCCUAGAAGUAAUUUACUUCCUCUGCAGCAGCACAGUGCUGUGACAGACAUGUAGCUCUGAUUUGCUCUCCACGUCAUCACUUUCUAAAGAUUUCUAUUAUUUUUAAUUCAUAUACUGACUUAGAAUUCUAA